GGCCCGCCGGCGACGCAGCUGAAGCCCCCAACCGGAUCCAUCGCGCGACGCAAAAGGGGAUCGAGCCUCCCCACCCAGAGCUCCCGCGGCCUGACGAGAGGAAAUCGCCCCCGCUGCCGCCGUCCGCCGCCAGGGCUUAGCCUGGCGGCCUCCUCCUGCGACGGCGAGGGGAGUAAGGGGGGCGGGAAGACGGCCCGGCGGCGCGGCUAGGUUUCCGCCCGUGUCGCCUCAGUCGAGAUGACGCGGGGGCUAUGACUGAUGGCAUAAGGUAUUGGAAGAGCAGAUUGAGCCCCUCAAAAAAAAGGAAGAGCAGAUUGAGUGUGGAGAGGACGUAUUGCAUGCAGGAUAUCGUCUGCGGAUGCUUGGGUAAGUACGGAGUUGAGAACACAAGGUCGAGGAGUUUGAUUGCAAGUGUGGGCAGUUUGCACAUAUGGGGCUGUUGUGCUGCCAUGUUUUGAAGAUUCUAGUCAAACAUAUAGUGAAGAGGUGGACAAAGGAAGCCUACUGCCAGCACACCUGGCCCAUUAUCAUAAGGAUCAAAUGUAUAGGAAUCCAUUCUCGCACUGACACAUCAGAAUGUACAUGCAGAGGAAGCUGAAUGUGAUUUGGACUGCAGCGAAGGGAAAGUUGUGAGUGCGGAUCUGAACUGUUCGUUAUGUAAUUCGAGAUACAGUUUUUAGAGUCGUAACUGACGAUGAUCCAUGUCACAUGUAUUGUUUUGGUGUUGUAUUGAUCUGCUGUUGUUGCACCGUUGAGCUCCUAUGCAUGUACUCUCCAAGGGAAUGCUAUGUGGUUUGUUUUCAUGAUCUCUGUGUGUGGGCAGUCUGAGAGGUGAUGAGGUGCACAGUUCUUUCUGUAGAUUACUAAAAGAUUGUUUGUGCUAUCGCAUUUUGGUCUGCUUUUGCGAUGUCUACAGGGAAAACAAUUGUGAAGUGAAACUAUUUUUCAUGCUGCAGAACUGAGAGUUACUGAAUUUGAUUUGGGUGCAGAGGAAUUAUUUGUUGUACACCGCACUUGACAGUUCCAGAGUUUGCCAAUGUGUGCAGGCAAGAACAGGUGGGAGUAAAUGGGCCGAUGAAGACGGCGUUCGUAGGUUCAGAAUGGUAGGGUAACGGCCUGUAUCGUUAAGAAGCGUCCAAGCCGGCAAACGGGUAGCGGAGACGUUACAUUAAUGCUGGUCGGUAGGUGGGCCACGCCCUGGAAUAUCAAUGCAUAUAUUACUUCAAAUACACUGCCGUAUACCUAGUGCAAUGCGAAUUUGGAAGCGCUUGGACAGGAAGGAUAACGAGACCAUCUCAGCUCGGGCUCAUAAUAGGAUUUCCUGUAUUAUUACUUUAUUUUACCAGUGGCAUUAGGGUCGAGCAGGUGGCAAACGAGGUGUACCGUGCGUCGCAAGGAUGGAGGCCGGGGGUGCUUAGACUGGGAUGCUGAAGCUAGCUCUAUCUCCCCCCUGAUGUUUUUGUGGUAGCAUUUGGGUUGUAAUCCAAACUUGGUCGAGCUGGUGCUGCGUCCCCCUACCUGCCUAGCUUAUGUGGCGAACUUGUCUCCUGCUAGUACUCAGUCCGGUCUA